rnacentral:rRNA from 1 species
GAUGAACGUUGGCGGCGUGCCUAAUACAUGCAAGUCGAACGGAGAUUGUAGCAAUACGGUCUCAGUGGCGAACGGGUGAGUAACGCGUUGGUGACCUGCCCCGAAGUGUGGAAUAACAGAUCGAAAGAGCUGCUAAUACCGCAUAAUAUCCAGAAGAUUAGACGCUUUUGGAUUAAAGGAUUUAUUCGCUUCGGGAGGGGCCUGCGUCCCAUCAGCUAGUUGGUAAGGUAAUGGCUUACCAAGGCUAUGACGGGUAGGGGACCUGAGAGGGUGGCCCCCCACAAUGGAACUGAAACACGGUCCAUACACCUACGGGUGGCAGCAGUAGGGAAUAUUAGUAAUGGGCGAAAGCCUGAACUAGCAACGCCGCGUGUGCGAAGAAGGCCUUCGGUUGUAAAGCACUUUUAGUAGAGGAUGAGGAAGGACGGUACGUCUCAGAAUAAGUCUCGGCUACUACGUG